rnacentral:lncRNA from 1 species
GUUCACCUGGAUGUGCUCGAUGACCAGAAAAUCCGCAUCUGAGCCCUUCAGUUCAGCAUCACUCUCUGCAUUUUUAAGCAUGUGCAGCAAAAUUCAGCACUCCUUUUGGGCUGCUGACCCUAUGUCCAGCCCAUGUUUAGCCUGGGCAUACCUGCCAGCUCCUUGAUUGUAACGAGGGAACCACACAACACACUACUUGUAUAAAGUGCAUUCAGAUACUCAGUGGCUUUCCGGAUAUGCAUACCCUUGAUGGCCUGGGGUUUCACGAGUGCUCUUAAAGUGAACUCGAAGACUUGGGGCAGGGAUUGAACCCGAGCCACAGCAGUAACAAUGCCAGAUCCUUAACUGCUAGGCCACUAGGGAACUCCCAAAUAUUUGCAAUAUUCUGUGAGAUUUUCUGCAUGAAGGGAACAGUGAACCAUUUUCAGAGAUGAAGCUAGAGGCUCUUGAGAGCAGUUCCAGGCUGGACAGCUUUUCCUUCUCCCAGUCAGCCUUGUGCAGGGCUGGGUGUGGUGACGGAUGGGGUCUCAAUCUCCUUGUCCUUGAAUCAGCCCACCAGCUUGGUGCUGCCUUGCACCCCAACCCCUCUACACUCGUCUUUCCUCCCUCCCUUCCUUCCUUCUUUAUUUCUUUUUAUGGCUGCACCUUCGGCAUAUGGAGGUUCCCAGGCUAGGGACUGAAUUGGAGCUGCAGCUGCCUGCCUAUACUGCAGCCAUAGCAAUGUGGGGUCUGAGCCGCAUCCGCGACCUACACCGCAGCUCAUGGCAAUGCCAGAUGCUUAACCCACUGAGUGAACCUGCAUCCCUCUAUGUUGGGUUCUUAACCCACUGAGCCACAGUGGGAAUUCCUAUGCUCUUCUUUUUAUAUCCUCUGAGCCUAUAUUUGCCCUGAGCAUGCUACUCACUGCCAUGUGAACUACUCUUGGACCUUCUUCUCCCCUCUGCCUCUUUCCCCCAAGCCAUCUCUGUUGCUUUGUUGUACAAACCACACUGACUAAUGGCUGCAUUCUUUGUCUCAGGCUCCUCCACUUGCUGGGCCAGGUGGUCCCUACAGCACCUCUGCUUCUAAACUUUCAUGGAGUGUAAGUCAGAGCCCCACACCUAGCUCCUUUCUUGGCUUCACCCCUUGUCCUCCUUGAACUUGCACUCCAAAACUUCACCCCAGUUUCUGCCCCUUGCUGGGGUUUCCCUGUGCCUUGGCUCCACCCUUCAGUCAUGAGCUGGCCCCCAACUCUCCAGCCUGGGCAGGUUCCCCUGUUCCCACAAGGACCCCCCUCCCCAGCUGGAGAGCCGUCAGCCUCCAGGUUGCACAACAGCAUGGCAUCUGAGCUGAGAGCCCCUGAGAAGCUCGGGGAAGGAGAGGGGGACAGAAGUGUUUGCUCCCACCACCCUCCUCACCCCAAACUGCCGCCUUAAAUAUUUGCUUAAGCCUCUAGCAGCAAGUGUCCUAGGAGGAGGAAGAUGAGGGAGGGGUGUCCAGGAAGAAGGGGGGGAAAAGCGUCCUCCUCUCAACUGUGUGCAGCCUUAGCUGUGUGCAGGUGCCAGAUGCAGGAGACAGCCUGCCUGCUGUGCCCACCCCUGCCUGGCCAGCCCUCCCCCCACCCCCCGUUGUCCUGGCAACACUGGGAUUGAUUGGCUGACUCACUCCUCCUGGACCUGAGCCAGGUGGGCAGCGGGCCAGUGGGAGAACCAAGGAGAAUGGCAAGCAUCUCAGGGGUCCCUGUGGCCAUCUGGGGGGUUCAGAGUCCAGCUGUGGGACUUGCUCUGAGCAGGUGCUCUGCCUAGGGCUUGCUGUCAUGGCUGGCCGCUGGGAAAGGAAUCUCUUUCUUGGAAAGAAGCCUCUGCUCUCAUGGGUCCUCAGUCUCCCCGGCAGGCUGCCCUUAGGCUGUAAUUCUUACAACUUUAUGUGUUUUCUUUCUUUCUUUUUUUAACUUGUUUUUGCCUAUUUGGAGAUUGGGGAAGGAAGGGUGCGCUCCAGUUUCCUAAGGGAAGUUCAGACGCUGGCACCGAUCUGGUAGAAGUCUGGGAAUUCUUGUCUUCCUUCUCAGGAAGGGGGGAGGGACAUUUAUUGGGGCAAGCCAGCUGUCACCUCACCCCCCACACCAGCCCUCUGCUGCAGGCUUUCCACUUUGGGGCCUUUACUUAGCCCCUUUCUCCUUCCUGGAAAGCACACCUUCAGUGCCUCUUCACCUCUCUGAAUACCACACACCCUAAAAGGCCAGGCAAGAGCCAUGACACUUCCCCUGUGCUCCUGGCCUCAGCCCACAGUGGCGCCUCCCUCCUCCAAGAUGGCCCAGCCUCCUUCUGCCCUUACCUGCCCCUUGGCCGGCACUGUGGUCCUCAUCAGCCACGGGGGUGGUUUUGGUUGCCUUUCUUCUCAAAGCCCUGGGACCAGGCCCGAGACCACACUUUCCAGAGGUUUCUUGCAGUGCAAGACACAUGCAUGCAGCCAACGUGUAACUCUAUUCAGUGGUAAUAAGACUGUCACCUAACAUCAGGGGGCUCCUGGUGAGGGGUCAGUGGUUUAUUCCUUCAGUGUGGGGAUGCCUCGGUGCUCUGGGACCCUGAAUGAGUCGACCUGCCUUCCUUCGCAUUAUGUGUUCAUCUGUGAAAUAGGACUAAUAUGGCCUGGCCUGUCCCCCUCUCCAAGCUGUAGUGAGGAUCCAGUGACACCACAAUGCGACAGUCCAGUCAUCCAGAUUGUCAUCAUGCACUUCACCCCCCAGGGCAUCUCUUCUCACCAGCUAAAAAUAGGACCCAUAUUCCCCCUUUCUGUCUGCAUCUGAGUUAAACCCUCUGAGGAGUUCCCAAUGUGGCUCACCGGGUUAAGAACCAGUAUUCAUGAGGGUUCCAUCCCUGGCCUCACUCAGUGGGUUUAAGGAUCCAGCAUUGCCAUGAGCUGCAGCAUAAGUCCCAGACACAGCUCGGAUCUGGCGUUGCUGUGGCUGUGGUGUAGGCUGGCGGCUGCAGCUCUGAUUCAACCCCUAGCCUGGGAACCUCCACAUGCCAUGGGUGUGGCCCUUAAAAGACAAACUAAUGAUAAUAAUAGCAAUAAAGCCCUCCUAGAAGUGUGGGUGGUGGAGAGCCCCAUGGCAGGCACUCCUCGGUGUGCAUCUCCUUACCCUCCUUCCAGCCCCUCAGCUGCAGGGAUGGACAAGAUUCACUCUGCCCUUUGUGUGCUGGGCAGAGCUGUGCCAGGGACGGGUGGGGAUGGUGGCCCAGCUGCCCCAGCCACCCUCCCCACCCCCACUGCUUAUCUUCCCACAAGCUGGCAUGGGGAGGGCAGCACGGGCAGCUGUACGGGCAGCGGCAAGUGAGCAGCAAAGGGCAGGGGCAUCCCUGGCUGAGAGAACAUGGACUUAAGCUCAGACUAGAGAAUCCCCUGCUGGCAGAAGCUGGGGACAGCUGGGGAAGCAAAAGCCCGAUCGGUUUCCUGGACUCAUGAAAAGAGCAUGACACUGGGUGCUCAGCCACCUGACUGCACCUGUGAGCUCUCAGGACAAUUGUCCCGCCUCCCCCUACACAGCCCUGGGAAGUAACACAGCACAGAGCAGCAAUUCUCAAACUUUUUGGACACCUCAACACUCUUAAAAAGUACUGAAGACCCCCAAAGAGCUUUGGUUUAUGUAGGUUAGAUCUGUCAAUAUUUACCAUAUUGAUAUUUACUGAGAAAUUUAAAAACAUGAAAUAGGGAGUUCCCACUGUGGUUCAGUGGGUUAUGGACCCAACUGGCAUCCAUGAGGAUGCAGGUUCAAUCCUUGGUCUUGCUUAGUGGAUUAAGGAUCCGGCAUUGCCAUGAGCUGUGGUACAGGUCGCAGAUGAAGCUCCAAUCUCACCUUGCUGUGGCUGUGGUGUAGGCUGACAGCUGUAGCUCCGAUUCGACCCCUAGCCUGGGAACUUACAUAUACUGCGGGUGCAG